rnacentral:rRNA from 1 species
GAUGAACGCUGGCGGCGUGCCUAAUACAUGCAAGUCGAGCGAACAGACGAGGAGCUUGCUCCUCUGACGUUAGCGGCGGACGGGUGAAUAACACUGGAUAACCUACCUAUAAGACUGGGAUAACUUCGGGAAACCGGAGCUAAUACCGGAUAAUAUAUUGAACCGCAUGGUUCAAUAGUGAAAGACGGUUUUGCUGUCACUUAUAGAUGGAUCCGCGCCGCAUUAGCUAGUUGGUAAGGUAACGGCUUACCAAGGCAACGAUGCGUAGCCGACCUGAGAGGGUGAUCGGCCACACUGGAACUGAGACACGGUCCAGACUCCUACGGGAGGCAGCAGUAGGGAAUCUUCCGCAAUGGGCGAAAGCCUGACGGAGCAACGCCGCGUGAGUGAUGAAGGUCUUCGGAUCGUAAAACUCUGUUAUUAGGGAAGAACAAAUGUGUAAGUAACUAUGCACGUCUUGACGGUACCUAAUCAGAAAGCCACGGCUAACUACGUG